rnacentral:lncRNA from 1 species
ACCUAUUCAUGUUAGUGUAGGUUUGGGAGUUCAAUAUUGAGGUUCUACGACAGAUGUCACAGAUGGCAUCAUUGUCUACCAUGGAGGCAAAGUCAGAGUGCUCCAGGGUGGUGUGGAUAGUGAGGAUGGAAUUAGAGGCUCAGUUACAGCUCUAGAAACCUGAGGGGCUGAAUAAAUGGGGACUUCCAGCUUGGACUUCUUGUCGUAAUCAACAGGGAGAUAUUCCAUCAGCCAGAAGAUCAACCUGGAACCAGUUCUCCCUCCCCAGCUGUGGAAAACCAAGAAGCCCCGAAGACCUAUGCACCAAUCAGCCAGUUUCUGAAUUUGGCCCAAGACAAGGAGGCAUCCAGUGGACUUGAGCCAAAUUUCCUUGAGGCUGACCAACACCAUUUUACCACCCCAUGCUGAUCACAAGCCUCCUGAAGACAAUGCCUGUUGGAAGUGGGACAGCCACUAUUAUUUAGGUCUGCAUGGUGUUUGAAAAGCAAAGGAAAGAGAAGGUAGAGGAUUUCCUUCCAUGGAGGCAGCAUGGCAUUGAAAGUGUGGCAAUUAGAGCUAUAGAGAACCACUGUUUCUUCUGCUCUAUACUAGCUCUGUGGUGUUAGACAAGUAACCUGAAAUCCUCAAGUCUUUAAAAAGGGCUAAGAUUAAUGCCCAUUUUUCAAGGUUGUUGUAUAGAUUGUAAUGUAAUAUUGAAAGAUAACUAUUGAAGCCAAUGAAUACAUGGUGUUUAUUGUAAUAUUCUCUCUGCUUUUGUGUAUGUUUGAGCAUUUUCAGAAUAAAAAUAUUUUUAUAAGAGGGAAUAUAUAUAAA